UGGCGACGAUGAUGAUAAUGAUGGUGAUGAUGGUGAUGAUGAUGAUGAUGAUGGCAUCAUUGUCAUCAUCAUAUUACCAUGAGGA
rnacentral:miRNA from 1 species